GUGGUCCAGCGUUUGACAUACACAGCCUCUAACAAAACUAGGCUGUCUGGAACCCCUGGCAACAGGAUUGUUUACCUUUACACCAAGAAGGUUGGGAAAGCACCUAAAUCCUUAGGCAUGUGGUGUGUGCCCAGGUAGACUGCGAGGGGUUCGUGCUGGGAGACCCAAAGUCCUUAGGAGAUUGUCUAAGACAAGCAUGUCAGUGGGGCCUAUGGUGGUUCCACGUGUGCUGCCAAGUGUGUCUGUGACAGGAUCAAGCGGGCUUUCCUUAUGGAGGAGCAGAAUCGUUGUGAAAGUGUUGAAGGCACCGCACAGAGUCAGAAAGCAAAAUAG
rnacentral:lncRNA from 1 species